rnacentral:rRNA from 1 species
GGCGGCGUGCUUAACACAUGCAAGUCGCACGGGACUGGGGGCAACUCCAGUUCAGUGGCGGACGGGUGCGUAACACGUAAGCAACGUGUCCAAGGGUGGGGGAUAGCCGGCCCAACGGCCGGGUAAUACCGCAUGCAGUCAUCGGGGACAUCCCUGGUGACGAAAGCCGGGGCAACCUGGCGCCCAUGGAGCGGCUUGCGGCCUAUCAGCUAGUUGGUGGGGUAACGGCUCACCAAGGCAACGACGGGUAGCUGGUCUGAGAGGAUGACCAGCCACAUUGGGACUGAGACACGGCCCAGACUCCUACGGGAGGCAGCAGUGGGGAAUAUUGCGCAAUGGGCGAAUGCCUGACGCAGCGACGCCGCGUGUGGGAUGAAGGUCUUCGGAUCGUAAACCCCUGUCAGGGGGGACGAAGGCCCGGCAUUAACUGUGACCGGGAUUGACGGUACCCUCGGAGGAAGCACCGGCUAACUCUGUGCCAGCAGCCGCGGUAAUACAGAGGGUGCGAGCGUUGUCCGGAAUCACUGGGCGUAAAGGGCGUGUAGGCGGCUGGGUAAGCCGCGUGUGAAAGCCCGGGGCUCAACCCCGGAACGGCACGC